rnacentral:rRNA from 1 species
UACGAAGGGGGCUAGCGUUGCUCGGAAUUACUGGGCGUAAAGCGCGCGUAGGCGGCUUUGUAAGUCAGCGGUGAAAGCCUGGAGCUCAACUCCAGAACUGCCUUUGAAACUACAUCGCUAGAAUCAUGGAGAGGUUAGUGGAAUUCCGAGUGUAGAGGUGAAAUUCGUAGAUAUUCGGAAGAACACCAGUGGCGAAGGCGACUAACUGGACAGGUAUUGACGCUGAGGUGCGAAAGCGUGGGGAGCAAACAGG